GGAAACGCUGAGACUGAACGCAUUUAGUCCUGCCUUGUGACGCUCCCCGCCAGCAUGCAUGUCAUGUCUGUGCAGACAGUAGUACUCCACACUUGAGAACACGGAGCACAGAACCAAACGAAAGGAGGAUAUGCAUUCACAAACAGAGAUUAUAGGAUUCAUCCAAGAGGUCCACAAGACAAAAUACACAGAAUCCAUCCAUCUUCCAUAAUGGCUUAUCUGGCAUGGGGUCGUGGCGGUCUAUAGCCAUUUCCGGAAACACAGGACAUGAGGUAGAUGACACUGCAGUGGGUGCCAGUCCAUCACAGGAUAUGAGGGUAGCCCAUGGCAAACAGGUCCCAACAGAGGUGCCCGACAAAACCAGCCACCUAUAUUAUUGGCUGGCAGUGAGCCAGGACUGUGUUGGUGCAGGCGGUCGUUGUGGUGACAACGAGAAGGGCCCUAUUUCAGACUGUGUGGAAGAAGGUAAUCCACUGGAGGAGCGCACCGAGAAGGUCUUAAGGAUGGAGAUGCCGACCCUAGUAUAGUGCGGGAAGAUGGGGUCCUGAGGAACAUUAUACAGGCCAAUGGUCUAACAACUAAUGCUGUAAACUGAAAAAUCUCGUGGCCUGGUUUGGGCUAAAGAAGGGAAGACAGGCAAAAAAAACAGCGUGGAACUGCACAGCUGGAAAUAAUGGACACUGGUGUACAGUCAGCCAGUACCGACUUGGAAGCAGAAAGGACGCUGCACUAAUCAGCAUCUGUGAAUCUGACAACCUCUUCACUGCCAAUACAUCCUUCAAGCAAGCAGAACGUCCUCUUUUACACCUGGACAUAACCAGAUGGAGUUCGCAGAAAUCAAAUAGACUGCACUCUCUGUGCCAAAUGCUGGGACAGCUCAUUCCUAAUAGCUAAUACUUGGCUUGGAACAGAUUGUGGAACAGAUAACGAACAGAUUAGAGCCGUACGUAGAGAGCGAAUUGCCAAAUGUCCCAGCUGGAUUGAGGAAAAGUCGAGGAACAAGAGACAUCAUUACAGACGCACGGUGUACAAUUCAAGGAUACCAAGGAAUAUCAGAGGGAGGUCACUGCGUGUGCUAUUGACCACAACAAGGCUUUUGAUUCUAUUGACCUGUGUACCAGAGCAUCUCAUCGUCAUUAUGAAUAAUCUCCACAUUGGAUAGGAAGCCAGUAAGAGGGGAGUAUACAGUGGGGCCACAGGGACCCCAGCCCCAGCUGAAAGCUAACUGACCCUUAAAAAGCACUCUAGGACUCUCAGGUUGGAAUAUGGAGAAAGUGAUUGGUUCUACAUUUAAAUGUAAUAAAACAAGGCAGCAAACUAUCGCCAUAUCUAUUGAAAUAUAUACAUCAGGAACAGAAGGAGAUGACUAUAGACUCAGCACUGAUGGAAGACACAUGAACAACUUUCAAUAUGCUGACGACGCAUUGUGCAGAAACCAAUGGUUAGAGUCUCAGCGUCGGCAGGCAGAUUUGGUCUUGGCUGUGAAAACAUAAUUGCUUAUAGACAGAUUUCGCCUUCCUGGAACAAGCAUCAAACAA